UACGGAGGGUGCAAGCGUUAAUCGGAAUUACUGGGCGUAAAGCGUGCGCAGGCGGUUUGUUAAGUCUGCUGUGAAAUCCCCGAGCUCAACUUGGGAAUUGCAGUGGAUACUGGCAGGCUGGAGUAUGGUAGAGGAAGGUGGAAUUCCCGGUGUAGCAGUGAAAUGCGUAGAGAUCGGAAGGAACACCGGUGGCGAAAGCGGCGCACUGGGGCUUAACUGACGCUGAGGCACGAAAGCCAGGGUAGCGAACGGG
rnacentral:rRNA from 1 species